rnacentral:rRNA from 1 species
UACGUAGGGUGCGAGCGUUAAUCGGAAUUACUGGGCGUAAAGCGUGCGUAGGCGGUUCGCUGUGUCCGAUGUGAAAGCCCCGGGCUUAACCUGGGAAUGGCAUUGGAAACUGGCGGGCUUGAGUGUGGCAGAGGGGGGUGGGAAUUCCGCGUGUAGCAGUGAAAUGCGUAGAGAUGCGGAGGAACACCGAUGGCGAAGGCAGCCCCCUGGGUUAACACUGACGCUCAGGCACGAAAGCGUGGGGAGCAAACAGG